rnacentral:ncRNA from 1 species
AGAUAAAAAUUUAUGAUUUAUAAAAUUUAUUAAAAGUUUAAUUUAUAUAUAAAUUUUAGUGUAUAAUUUAUUGUAUUUAAAUAAUUUAAUUAAAUUGAUUUUAGUAAAUAAUAUUAAAAAUUUAAGAAAUUAAUAUUUAGUAAUAUUAAAAUUAAAUAACAAAUUUUGUGCCAGCAGUUGCGGUUAAACAAAAAUUUAUAUAAAAUUUUUCAGUAAUAAUAAAUAAUUUAAUUUUUUUUUUAAAGAUAAAAUUAUUAAGUGAAAUUUUAAUUUUAUAAAAAAAAUAUUAAAUAUUAUGAUUUUAAAAAAUUUUAUUAUUAAACUAGGAUUAGAUACCCUAUUAUAAAAAAAUUAAUAAAAAAUACUAAAAUAGUAAAUGAUAUUUUAUUGAAACUUAAAUAAUUUGGCGGUAUUUUAGUUCAUUUAGAGGAAUCUGUCUAAUAAUUGAUAGUCCACGAAUAAAUUUACUUAAUUUAAAAUUUUAUAUAUCGUUGUUAAAAAAAUAUUUUUAAAAAAAAAUUUACUUAAUUUAAAUUUUAUAUAUCGUUGUUAAAAAAAUAUUUUAAAAAAAUAAUAAUAUUUAAAAAUUAUAAUAAAAAUUAAUUCAGAUCAAGAUGUAAAUGAUAAUUAAGAAUAUGAUGGAUUACAAUAAAAUUAAAUAAAUGAAUAUUAAUUUUGUAAUAAAUAAUUGAAGGUGGAUUUAAAUGUAAUUUUAUUUAAUUUAAUAAAAUGAUUAAAAAUUAAAAUAUGUACAUAUUGCCCGUCGCUUUCAUUUAAAAAUUGGAAUAAGUCGUAACAAAGUAGAGGUACUGGAAAGUGUUUCUAGAAAGAU